ACAGCGUCGGUUGCCCGGGCGAUGCGCGGCACGCGUGCGGAGGCCCACACACCCUGAAGGCGGAGCCCCGGGUCGAGUGGCUGGCUCCCGGACCACCCAGCAGUCUGGAAGGAGACUCUCUGAGACCAGACUCCCGACCGACUGGCUCCUCCCACCUCCACACCUCCAGCCUGGUAUCAAGGCUGCUUUACAAUCAUCCUAUUCAGAGACACACAAUAAACAUUUGUAUGGUAAAGGAAACUGAUGCUGACUUCUGCAGAAAGAUUUACAAAUGUAUUCUAACCCAGCGGGGUUCUCAGUUACCUUAAGCAUUGCACCCUAAAUUAUGUGUGUCUCUUAAGUAACCAUCAUUACCCCACCUCCACCCUGCAACUGUGUAGUGCCUUAGGGCAUCAGGCUAUCUCCCCAGUCUCCUCUGGAGUCUUCCUUUGUGUCUGUUUUCUUUCUCUCUGGAAAGCCUUUUCCCUCUCCCCUCAUUUCCUGCCUGACACCAUCUGGUUGUUCUGGUCUCCAUUUAGAAGCCACGCCCUCUGAGAAGUCUUUCCCUGACAGCUGCCUGCAGCCCUGAGGCGGAAGACCUGCAGACCCUGUGUUUCUUGUAAUCACUACCUGCUCCAGUUGACUUUCUAAUGUACUGCAUGUGAGUUCGGAGCGGCCAGCUGUUUAGCAAAGGAGCCACUUCUCGGUGUUACCUCCCUUUGAAAUGUUGGAUUACCCAUGACGACUAUACAGAGCUCAGAACACUUCAGCCAUUGGGAAGUUCUAGGCUGGGGAUGCAGGGAUGCAGUUCACUCUGUAGGGGGCUUGCCGAGCAGGUGCAAAACGUGGGGUUCAAUCCCUAGCCCCUCAUAACCCAGGCGUGGUGACACACACCUGCAAUCCCAGCCCUUGGGAGGUGGAGACUCCAGGAUCAGGGGGUUCAAAUUCAACCUCAAGUAUCUAUGGAGUUGGAGGCCAGCCUGAGUUACAAGAGGACCUGUACAGCUAUAACGGAGUCAAUGAGGUGGCUCAGCAAGUAAAGGCUCUGGAGGCCCCUGCUGCGUAGGCAUGGGGCUAUAAAUUCAAUCCUUAGAACCCACAAAAAGGCGGAGGGAGGGAGACAAGAGACUGCAUAAAGCUGUCCUCUGAACGCCACGUGUGUUUAUUUUAAAUAAUUAAAAUAAUUUAAAAUAAAUAAGGCUGGGCGCAGCGGCAGCACACAGGCUUUUAACCUCAGUACUCCGGGAGGCUGAUGUAUCCUGUAGGUGAAGCCACAGCUAUUUAUUGUCUGUAUCUGAUCUGUCUAAUGAGUUCCAGGCCAGCCAGAGUUACAUAGUAAGUCUCUGUCUAAUAAGUAAAUGAAAGAUGCCUGGGAAGAUGGGGGGGAAGGGUUAAGGGGGGAGGAAAGGUGACAGAAGGGGGGGGGGGAAACACCUUUAAUCACAACAUUUGGGAGGCAGAGGCAGAUGGAUCUUUGUGAGUUUAAGGCCAGCCUGGUCUGUAGAAUGAGUUCCAGGACAGCCAGGACUACACAGAGAAACUGUCUUGAAACAACUAACUAACUAACUAACUAACUAACAGGCAUGGUGACCUAUACCUUUAAUCCAGGCACUCCUGAGGCAGGAGCUGGUAGGUGAGCUACAAGCCAGGCUGGUCAACAUAUUGAAUUCCAGUCAAGGCUACAUAGUGAGGCCCUAUCUCAAAUAAACCUUAGGUAUAUUAAGGACCCUAUCUGCUUAUAACAAAUUAGCAAACACAAGGCUCAGGGCUGCUACAAACCUUGCUUUAAAUAACCUCAUACAAAACCAGGCUCUCUCCCCACCUGUUUGGCCACAUGCAAAGAAACUGCAGUUCCUUCCUUUGCUAUCCUGUAAUAAUAGAAAACCAUGGUCUCUCUCUCUCUCUCUCUCUCUCUCUCUCUGUGCUGUCUCUCUCUCUCUCUCUCUCUCUCUCUCUCUCUCUCUCUCUCUCUCUCUCUCUCUCUCUCUCUCUCUCUCUGUGCUGUCUCUUUAGAAAACACCAGAGGAGAAUUAUGUUCACAACAGACUGCAAACCUUCUUGAAUUUUCUCCCCCUUCUGUCUUCUUGUCUUCCCACGCUUGGCACUUGCAUUCCUCAAACUGCCGGCUCCCCCCGCCCCCCUCCCCGUUCCUAUCUCUCUCUAAAAUCUCCUAAUUUAGCUGCGCUGCAGGCUCUUCCCAGCCUCCCCUGCGUGGCUCACGGCUCACAAGCACACAGCUCUCCAGAAAUCAACACUUCCAUCCCCCCUACACCUCAUUAAACCCCUGGCUUCACGCAUGUUUGGCGAGUGCUCUAGCGCCGAGUGAGCGACAGUCAAGGACCCAUCUCACAAACAUACUUGACCGGGUCGUGACGGACAGCAAGCUCCAGGCUGUCCAGACCAACAACACAUUCCAGUGACCCAGCCCACAACUCCAGCGGAGCGCUAGCCGAGUCCGAGUCCGAGUCCCAGUCUCGGGAUGACUCAUUUUCCCACCAACUGUCUCCUUAUCUCUCGCUCCCCCUCCUGCCUACUGGGAGAAGUUCAUGACUGAGAGCUUUCACACAGAAGGAAACAUUUUACUGAAAUGCCAGAGGCUGGCCUCAAACAUGAGCUCCUCUUGCCGCGUGAAAGGGCUCUGCCAACUUAGCUGCGUCCCAUCCAUUUGGUUCUGUUUUUUGUUUUUUUUUUUUUUUUCCAGACUAGGUCUCAGUGGGCCUGGAACUGGCUACGUGGUCCGAGUUGG